CCUUCCGUAGGGCCGAGGGGUCGUCGCCAGCUCACCGACAGCAGAGCCGGGCGGACCGCGCCCAGGGCUGACUCACGACGAGCUCACUGCUGACCUCGCUCCGGCUGAGCUACAUGACCUGGAGCCAACUCCGCUACUUCAGAAAACGGAGGUUAGAAUGCCACCCCCGCGGGGGUCGUCGGCUAAGAAGUCGUCACUUCUUCACUUGUAUAAAGUGAAGAGAGUCCUAUUAAAUAAACUACUAAAUAUCAUCUGAGCCUGUUCCUGUAUAACACAGAGACUGAAGAAAAGAAAUUUGCGCCAAAUUCCAUAUUCAUGUCCUCUUCAUGGCAGAAAAUUGGUCAAAAGUGCCACAAUAGAAUGAAACUGAAAAGGAGUGGCAUCACCUACUAAAUGUUUAAGAUUAACAUCCCAAGCAUCCAGAAGAUCAGAGACAGAGACCAGAGGUGGCCCCACCUGGAGUGUGGGGCUUUGGAGACAGAAAGGGCUUGAAAGGGAUGGAUUCAUUAUCCUUUAAACUUUCUAGAUGAUGGUCUCAAAACGCGGAAUGAAUUGUCAUCUACUUACUUAAAUUUGCAGGCUAAGCAGACCUAGUUCUUAGACUUUAACCAAUUUUGGAUUACUGCUAUCAGUGACCCUAGGCUCCCAUUUGCUUUCUGAGAAGUUCUCUAAAAAAUAAACAGGUUGUUCAUUCAAAAGUGUACCAAAUCUUUUUUAAAGUAUUUUAUG